rnacentral:rRNA from 1 species
CAGUAGCCGCGGUAAUACGAAGGGGGCUAGCGUUGCUCGGAAUUACUGGGCGUAAAGGGAGCGUAGGCGGACAUUUAAGUCAGGGGUGAAAUCCCAGGGCUCAACCCUGGAACUGCCUUUGAUACUGUCGAUCUGGAGUAUGGAAGAGGUGAGUAGAAUUCCGAGUGUAGAGGUGAAAUUCGUAGAUAUUCGGAGGAACACCAGUGGCGAAGGCGGCUCACUGGUCCAUUACUGACGCUGAGGUGCGAAAGCGUGGGGAGCAGACAGGAUUAGAUACCCGUGUAGUCCCUGUCUCUUAUAC